GUGCUUAACACAUGCAAGUCGAACGGUGAACCAUCUUCGGGUGGGGAUCAGUGGCGAACGGGUGAGUAACACGUGGGCAACCUGCCCCUGGCUUUGGGAUAACUCCGGGAAACCGGGGCUAAUACCGGAUAUGACUCCAUUCCGCAUGGUUUGGGGUGGAAAGGGUUUCCGGCUGGGGAUGGGCCCGCGGCCUAUCAGCUUGUUGGUGGGGUGAUGGCCUACCAAGGCGACGACGGGUAGCCGGCCUGAGAGGGCGACCGGCCACACUGGGACUGAGACACGGCCCAGACUCCUACGGGAGGCAGCAGUGGGGAAUAUUGCGCAAUGGGCGGAAGCCUGACGCAGCGACGCCGCGUGGGGGAUGAAGGCCUUCGGGUUGUAAACCUCUUUCAGCAGGGACGAAGCUUUCGGGUGACUGUACCUGCAGAAGAAGCACCGGCUAACUACGUGCCAGCAGCCGCGGUAAUACGUAGGGUGCAAGCGUUGUCCGGAAUUAUUGGGCGUAAAGAGCUCGUAGGCGGUUUGUCACGUCGGAUGUGAAACCCCGGGGCUCAACCCCGGGUCUGCAUUCGAUACGGGCUGACUAGAGU
rnacentral:rRNA from 1 species